rnacentral:ribozyme from 15 species
UAAUUUGAACUUUGUCCAUCCUUUUUAUUUGUACUGUUUCUUUCGUUAAAUUUGAUGUAUUUCUAAAAAUCAUCGGCGAUGAAAUUCCGAGACUCUUCAAUAAAAGCUUUAGAU